rnacentral:lncRNA from 1 species
GAACAUUCUCCCUAUCUAUUCCUGGAUUAGAAACUCUCCUAGUUUCCCUCUUCCACUCCAUGACAGUCAAAAUGAUCAGUGUGGGUGGUGAAGAGGCAUCUUUUAAGAACAGAAUAUACAGCUUCCCGAAGAACUGGAUAGGUAGAGAAGACAUGGAGAUUGAUCAUGUGAGGCAAGGUCUCCUUGAAUGGCCUGGAGUUCAUUAUGUACACCAAACUGUCUUCAAGAUCACGAAGAUCUACUCGCUUCUGCUUCCCAUGUGCUGGGAUUUAAGAGCCCUCAUCCAGUGGUUGAUGGAAGCAGAGGCAGACACCCACAGAUAUACACUGAACUGAACUCUGGAACCUAGUUGCAGAGAGGGAAGAAUGAAGAUCAAAGGGCUCAGUACCAGGCUGGUGAAACCACAGAAACAGCUGGCCUGAACAAGGGGGAGCACAUGGACCCCAGACUUCUGUCUGGGAGGCAAGCACAGGACUGAUGCAGACUCCUGAACAUGGAUGUCAAUGAGGAGGCCUCUGUACUUUAGGGGGCCCCUGGAAGUGGAUUACUAUUUUUCCCUGGUGUAAGAAGGGACUUUGAGAGCCCAUCCCAAGCCUCUGCCUGAACACAUGGGGGAGGGCCUAGGUCCGGCCCAGGAUGGGUGGUAGACUUUG